UACGUAGGGGGCAAGCGUUGUCCGGAAUCAUUGGGCGUAAAGCGCGUGUAGGCGGCCAGAAAAGUCCGCUGUGAAAACUCGAGGCUCAACCUCGAGCUGUCGGUGGAAACUUUCUGGCUAGAGUCCGGAAGAGGAGAAUGGAAUUCCUGGUGUAGCGGUGAAAUGCGCAGAUAUCAGGAAGAACACCCGUGGCGAAGGCGGUUCUCUGGGACGGUACUGACGCUGAGACGCGAAAGCGUGGGGAGAGAACAGG
rnacentral:rRNA from 1 species